GAACUGAAGAGUUUGAUCAUGGCUCAGAUUGAACGCUGGCGGCAGGCCUAACACAUGCAAGUCGAGCGGAUGAGGGGAGCUUGCUCCCUGAUUCAGCGGCGGACGGGUGAGUAAUGCCUAGGAAUCUGCCUGGUAGUGGGGGACAACGUUUCGAAAGGAACGCUAAUACCGCAUACGUCCUACGGGAGAAAGCAGGGGACCUUCGGGCCUUGCGCUAUCAGAUGAGCCUAGGUCGGA
rnacentral:rRNA from 1 species